rnacentral:rRNA from 1 species
UACGUAGGGUGCGAGCGUUAAUCGGAAUUACUGGGCGUAAAGCGUGCGCAGGCGGUUGUGCAAGACAGGUGUGAAAUCCCCGGGCUUAACCUGGGAACUGCACUUGUGACUGCACAGCUGGAGUACGGCAGAGGGGGAUGGAAUUCCGCGUGUAGCAGUGAAAUGCGUAGAGAUGUGGAGGAACACCGAUGGCGAAGGCAGCCUCCUGGGCCAGCACUGACGCUCAUGCACGAAAGCGUGGGGAGCAAACAGG